ACACAUUGACUCACGAACAUUU
rnacentral:snRNA from 1 species